rnacentral:lncRNA from 1 species
GAUUAGGAUUUACUCGAUCAUUGUUGAUAGUAUUCAUUAUCGAUUUGGCACGGUCACCAUGCACAAAAUUAUUACUCUUUAAGUUAGACUUCCAAUCUCUCCACCUAUUGUUCAUGAUAGCCAUCAGUUUUCUUUUAGCAUUGGGGUGAUCUGAGGUAAAUCGUUUCUACAACAAACAAAUUUACACAUAUAUUAAAUUACCUUCAAAGUUUUUAAUGUCAAAUUCUAUAAAAUGCUAUUGAUUAAUAACCUGAAUUUCAUCCCAAGCCCUUGUCAUGUUAGCCUUUGUCAUAUUGGACCAUGUUGGAGUACUUAUUGGAAAAAAUUCUCCAUUGCGAGCA